CCGGAUAAUCCCUUUCUCCACCUGGAGAGAGAGUGAAAGAUGGCUUCGGCUAUCACUAGGAGAUGGGCCCGCGGCGCAUUAGCUAGUUGGUAAGGUAACGGCUUACCAAGGCGACGAUGCGUAGCCGACCUGAGAGGGUGAUCGGCCACACUGGGACUGAGACACGGCCCAGACUCCUACGGGAGGCAGCAGUAGGGAAUCUUCCGCAAUGGACGAAAGUCUGACGGAGCAACGCCGCGUGAGUGAGGAAGGCCUUCGGGUCGUAAAGCUCUGUUGUGAGGGAAGAAGCGGGGUACCUUGACGGUACCUCACCAGAAAGCCACGGCUAACUACGUGCCAGCAGCCGCGGUAAUACGUAGGUGGCAAGCGUUGUCCGGAAUUAUUGGGCGUAAAGCGCGCGCAGGCGGCUUCUCAAGUCUGAUGUGAAAUCUCGGGGCUCAACCUUGAGCGGCCAUUGGCCACUGGGGAGCUUGAGUGCAGAAGAGGAGAGUGGAAUUCCACGUGUAGCGGUGAAAUGCGUAGAGAUGUGGAGGAACACCAGUGGCGAAGGCGACUCUCUGGUCUGUAACUGACGCUGAGGCGCGAAAGCGUGGGGAGCCAACAGGAUUAGAUACCCUGGUAGUCCACGCCGUAAACGAUGAGUGCUAGGUGUUAGGGGUUUCGAUGCCCGUAGUGCCGAAGUUAACACAUAAGC
rnacentral:rRNA from 1 species